rnacentral:lncRNA from 1 species
GUAACCCACAGGUUGAGAAUUGCUGUUCUACAGGGAGGUGAAAUACUCCAUUGUGCAAGGAAGCUCCUUACACUCAGGAAAAACCCUGAAGAGCUUCAGUUUCUAACCCUGAGCAGAUUCACGAGCCCCACCUCCCCAAGAGGAUAUGACAGUGAAGACUGCGGAGAGAAGGUUCUCCAACAGCCCAAGCACUUAGAAGGCUUAGAAGCAGAGACAAGCUGCACUGCCUGCAGGAGGCUGAGACCAACAGAACCACAGAAAACGACACUCUCCAACCUGCUGAGCAUCCUGCAGGCUGCUCAGUGGCUCUAGGCUCCCAGCUUUUAGUUCCCUAGACAGGAUGAGUAGACUGUUCACAUCUCCACAGAAAGAAUGCCACACAACAUAAGAGACGCCUGAACGGGGACGCAGCAGAACAAAGGAUGAACAUGGAGAGAAGCGCGUGGUCCUGGACAGACAGGGCAGCGAGUCGUGUAGCUGAAGCAGAGGAGCCCAAGGUAAAGCACCUGAGGUACAAUUCCAAUACAGCUGUCCCUUCCCAUGUGCUGUGACAGUGUCUUCUUGCUAUGGCAGCAACUGCACGGUGCUUGCUGUGGGUGGUGAGACUGCAUCUUGGGCUGACUCAUUAGACUUUAGAGUACUGGUGAAGGGCAUGUCAAGACGACACUCAUCAUGUAUGGCAUGGGGGAGAUGCCUGCUUGAUGAGCAGAGUCCAUCACAUGAAUAUGAAGGCCCUGAAAAUAGCUAAAAAGGUCUGAGAAAAUGUUGCAGUCUGCAGCUCACCACGGUGAGAUUAAUAGCAAGCAGCAGCAGAGAAGGCUGCCUGGCCACUGCUGUGGGAGGUAAGAAACGCACCCGAGGCUGAGAAGGCAGCCAAGCAAGAACUUGUUUGUGUAAGGAGAAAUGGCAGCACUGCCUCUGAUCUGGCAAGCAGGUUAGAUAAGCGAAAGGACCGACAGAGGCACUGACUUGCCACUGCUUAGAGCCUGUAGGCUGAAAGGAAAAUAAGUACAAAUCAGAUUCAUGUUCAAGAGCCCUUGCUGAGAGCUAAGAACCUGGAACCCACGGGACAGGAGUGAGGAAAAGAACAUGACAGAAGGUGAGAGAAGAGACCCCUUGCGCGGGUCUGACCUGUAGUAAAAGAGAAAGAGAGAAUCUGUCAUCUAGCCUGAGAUGGAAUCAACAGUGGCCUAGUACAAGACACUAUGGUCACCAGCACUCGAACAAGUGGGGAAGUCGCUUAAAGAAGCAAUCAAAGAGUCCAUCACAGGGGCUGGAGAAAUGGCUCAGCAGUUAAGAGCACUAACUGCUCUUCUGAAGAUCCUGAGUUCAAUUCCCAGCAACCACAUGGUGGCUCACAACCAUCCAUAAUGGCAUCUGACGCCCUCUUCUGGUGUGCCUGAAGCUACAGUGUACUUACAAUAAAUACAUACAUAAAUAAAUAAAUAAACCGGUCCAUC